rnacentral:lncRNA from 1 species
UAGACAUGAGUUAAACAUAUAUGCCAUCGACAAAGGGGGAGAAUGUAGAAUCAAAAUUGUCGACAUAGGAUUAUAUUUUAAUCAUGUCAAUUUAAACCUUAAUUACACUAUUAAUCAAUAGGGGGUAAAUAAGUCAAUCGAUAUUAAACCUUACUCCAGUUAAUUAAUUAAUCAUUUGAGUUAAGGGUUUAAGUCAAAGUUAAAAGUCAAAUUGGGAGAAUUGCAUUUUGCAUUAUCACCUUGAAUAUUAUUAUUUGGAAUAAUUGCAUUUUUACCUUGAAUAUUAUUAUUAUUAUAUUUUGACACUUUAUUCAAGGUAUAAUAUUCCAAGGGGACAAAACACUAUUCAAGUUUAAAUUUAUACAAAGAUAAGAUUCUCCAACAAACUCUAUCCAAGAAAAGCACUAUUCAAGAUAAGAUCAAAGACAAAGCUUGGAUUUAUGUGAGAGAUCAAGGAGCCAUCCAUUGAAGAUCCAAGGGUGGACAUUGAGUGGCCAAGGCUAUAAAUAGAAGGGUAAUCUCCUCAUUUUCACUCACCACACUACAAGCAAACUCAAGAGCUUUCACUCCACACUUGCCCACACGUUUUUGCCUCCAAGCUUCCAAGCUUUCAAGUGCUCAAGUGUCCUAGCUUUCCAAAGCUUCAAAAGCUCUCCAACUUCUUAUUCUAAUCUUCUUGUUCAUCUUUACAAGUAAGAAGUGUUGUUUGCUUUAAUAUUCCACUCCUCUAAUCACCUCUUGUGUGUGUCCACUUUGGUUGAGAGGGUUGAGAGUGCAAAGAAUGCAUUGAAGACCACCAAAAGGUAUGUUUUAAAUUAAAUAUUAUUCUGGUUAAAAGCCACUAAAAUACAAGCCUUGCUAAGAUCCUAGCUAGCUCUUAGAUGAUAGUUUCAAAAUCUCAUUACUUGUUAAAUCUAACAAGUCAUGUCAGUACAUGGGAAAUCAAAGAACUCUCUUUUGAGAAGGAGACUGCAAGAUAAAACGAUUUUUCAUGGCUUAGUCAAACCAAAAACAAGAAAUUCUUGGAAACCUAAAAGCUUCAUCUAUAAAUACUAGGUUGUUCACUCUCAAACCAAAACCUUACUUUCUCACCCAUUCCUACCAUCUUCAAAAUGGAUUCGUAUGAUCCAGACUGGAAAAAGGUGAUGGAUCUCAUCACAGGGAAGAAGCAAGUAAGUCAAUCAGAGAUAACUACUCACCUGUUUAAAGAGAUCGAUGAGGCAAAAUCAAGGAUUAAAGUGCUGAAAUCAAGUAUUAAAAACCAAGGAGUUCUGAUCGCAGACUUGCAAUAUCAAAUCGAGAUGUUAAAAGUUCCCACUGAGGAAGCUAACACCAUCAACCAUGGUUUUGAUUAGCUUGCUAUGCCUACUCGAUGCCAUCUGAUUUAGAUGUUCCUUUUUGGUUUCAUCGAUGGUGUUCAAACACCACUAUAACAUCUGUUAAAUAGAUGUUUCUACUUUUUUAAGUCUGUUUUGUUUAAGGUCUAACCAUAGACCUAAGCUUGCUUUAUUUUUAGUGAAAAACAUCAAUGAAAAAUCAAUUUCUCACUAAGUAUUAAAGACUUAAAAGUAGAUAUGAUUCUCAAAUAGUUCUUUAUCAAGAAUCAUCAAAAAUCCAACCAUUAAAUAAAUAUGAUUAACUCCAUAUCUUCAAGAUCUUUUAGAGAUUCAAAUAUUUAAGGGUUGUAUGGAUAAACUAGAAGCUUCAAGGGCUUAAACAUAAAUUAUGUUUGAAGUUUCUAAGUUUAAAAUGAUUCACUAAACUUAAGGAUUAAAAUUAUAUUUCUCAGUGAAUAUAGAGUUAUGUGAAACUUCAAAGACUUAAACAUAAAUCGUUUAUGAAGUUUUUAAGUUUUAAUAGAUUCACGAAAACUUAAGGGUCAAAAUGAUAACUUUACAGUGAAUAUAAAUUUAUGUAAAACUUCAGGGACUUAGAAUCAAUAUUUACAUGAAGUUUUAAUCGAAAAAUUACUUAGAAAUAUUUAACACUUCCAAGGUUUAAAAUGAAAUUUUUUAAGUAUUAAUCUAAGUAUUUAUCAUAACUUCAAAGGGCUUAAAUGAAAUUUUGUUUUAAGUGAAAUUUUACAACUAAGGCUUUAAGGACUGAAAUGAAAAUUUUAAAUCUUUUAAAACUUAGUGAAUAUUUACGUGAUUAUAUUUGUCACUAAGACAUAGAUUUUAAAAUUUUAAAAUGCUCAAAGCAAUUAGUGAAUAUUAUGGAUUUAUACAUAUCAUUCAUAUCUUAUGGAUUAUAACAUUAUAAAAUCUUUAAUCCAUACAUGUUAAGAUCAUCUUCAUCCAUAACACACACAUGGAUUAUUAUUCAUUGCAUGAUCUUAGCACAAGGCAAUUUAAAUUAUCAUAUCAUACUUGCCUUAUAAUGUAUAUCCAAAUUGGCUUCAAUCCAAUAUUUUAUCAAUGAGCAUAAAUUACAUGUUAUUUCUCCUUUAUGAUUGACUAACACUCUUAUAAGCAAGAAGUCACAUUUGGUCAACCACACAAAUCGAAUUUGUGAUCAAAGCUCAAUAAGGUAUGAAGUUUUAUUUUCUCCACAAAUUAGAUAUGUCCUAUCAUUAAGGGGGAGAUACUUCACAGGUAUCUAUUUUAACUUUGUCGAUACCUUAUUGUUUUAAGGGGGAGAAAUCAUGCAUGAUCCACUGCUUUUAAAUUAAAUAUUAUGGGUCAAUAAUUCUGGGGGAGCAUGCUCAUAAGGGUAAAAUAGAAUAUUGACUAGACAUGAGUUAAACAUAUAUGCCAUCGACAAAGGGGGAGAAUGUAGAAUCAAAAUUGUCGACAUAGGAUUAUAUUUUAAUCAUGUCAAUUUAAACCCUAAUUACACUAUUAAUCAAUAGGGGGUAAAUAAGUCAAUCGAUAUUAAACCUAACUCCAGUUAAUUAAUUAAUCAUUUGAGUUAAGGGUUUAAGUCAAAGUUAAAAGUCAAAUUGGGAGAAUUGCAUU